UGGGGAAUUUUGGACAAUGGGCGCAAGCCUGAUCCAGCCAUGCCGCGUGCGGGAAGAAGGCCUUCGGGUUGUAAACCGCUUUUGUCAGGGAAGAAAUCUUCUGAGUUAAUACCUCGGGAGGAUGACGGUACCUGAAGAAUAAGCACCGGCUAACUACGUGCCAGCAGCCGCGGUAGUACGUAGAGUGCAAGCGUUAAUCGGAAUUACUGGGCGUAAAGCGUGCGCAGGCGGUUUUGUAAGACAGAGGUGAAAUCCCCGGGCUCAACCUGGGAACUGCCUUUGUGACUGCAAGGCUUGAGUGCGGCAGAGGGGGGAUGGAAUUCCGCGUGUAGCAGUGAAAUGCGUAGAUAUGCGGAGGAACACCGAUGGCGAAGGCAAUCCCCUGGGCCUGCACUGACGCUCAUGCACGAAAGCGUGGGGAGCAAACAGGAUUAGAUACCCUGGUAGUCCACGCCCUAAACGAUGUCAACUGGUUGUUGGGAAGGUUCCUUCUCAGUAACGUAGCUAACGCGUGAAGUUGACCGCCUGGGGAGUACGGCCGCAAGGUUGAAAACUC
rnacentral:rRNA from 1 species